CUAAAAUACGCGCGUAGCGCGUGUUUUGACAGUAGGAGGAAUAUAACUUUACUGGGCUAAUCGCAAGCAACGUGGAUUAGUCUGGAUCUAAACUAUCAUGUCUAUAAGGAGGCGGCAGGAGCAAAAACAAUGGGUUGCCUUCGUCGGAGAUUUUUCCAUCCUGAGGGAUUUUCUGUCAAAGAAAAGAUAUCGCUCGCCUUGGAUCGUAUUUAAGUUCUUGGAUGUUCUUUUCAGGGGCUAUGGACAGGUGGUUUCGGCCAACAAUCCAAUCAGCGGAUUGCUAAUAGCUGGUGCAUUCGCAUUCUUCAUACCUGGGAUGAUGUUGAUCGCCAUCUGUGCUGGAAUAAUAGGUCUGUUGUUAUCAAUGCUAAUUGCGGACGAGCCGCGAUCUCAGCUUGAGAACGGUUUGACAGUCUUCAACCCUAUUCUCUGUGGCUCGUUGACGUAUACAUUCAGGCCUGACAUCUUCGAUUCGUUCGACAGUCGUCUGUUCUCACAUUUAUUCUUCGCGUUAAUUUUCAGCGUCUACUUGGCCCGAGCUCUCGGAAGUGGAAAACUUCCCUGUUUGUCGGCGCCGUGCAACGUCGUUCAACUUAUACUCAUAUUUACCCUCGCCUCAAGAGACAGCAACGUUUUAUCACUGGCUGAAACCACGACUACCGAGGCGAACGGAACUUCGGUACCUGAUUUAUUUUUCGAAAAUUAUACCCAACAAAGUAUUUCAAAUAACACCGAUGACCACGUGAAAUGGGGAAUGGUAUUUCGCGGUAUGCUGACUUCUUCCGGGCAGGCUUACGCCGCGGACAACGUGCCGGUAUCUUCAAUUAUUUAUCUCGCCAUCUUGACCUACUCACCGAUAACGGCAGCCUUUUCUUUCACCGGAGCAACGGUCGGCUCUCUUACGGGCCUGGCGCUCGGCGUCCCCAUCGAAGAGGUUUACUCAGGAUCCUGGGGUUACAACGCACUUCUGACAACCGGCAGCCUAGGUGGCCUCUUCUUUGUCCUUAACUUUCAAACCACGAUCGCUGCAACUUUUGCCGGCAUGUUUGCAACGAUUCUUCAAAGCGUUCUCACUCCAGUCUUUGCCAAGAUUGGGUUACCCGUACUUACGGUACCUUUUGUUUUAACAACUUGGCUGUUCCUUGGAAUCCAAGGAUCGGAAGGUUCGGGAUUCAUCCGUCCGGAAACGAUAUCGUUCCCUGAGAAACAACGCCAUGACUACAUCUCCUCCCAAAGAACAGCAACGCCUCUCUCAGAGUCCGACGAUUCGGAAGAUGUCGACAUCAUCGUCGAGGCGAAACCGUCCUAACAUAAUGCUCACAUUCUACCGUGGAGAAGAAUAUUCGCAUAUUCGUAAAACUGCUCGAUAUAUUUAGAUUUGUAAUCAGCGUCCAGAAAAACCACAGAAUACUAUCUGGUUGUAAAAGUUGACACGGCACAACAACGUGUAACUCACAAUCAGAGGA
rnacentral:misc_RNA from 1 species